rnacentral:lncRNA from 1 species
UAUAUCUCUCCUUUCUUUGGUUAGGAACAAUUCAAUAGCUUGCCUUAACAUCGAAUAACAUAGCGAGCGGCUACUAGCUUUCUUCGGCUCUUACUAUGAGCUUAGGUUCCAUAGCUUUAGGAGCCUUCAAAGAAAAUCGAAUAGCUUUGCUUAGCGGCGACUACUUUCUUUCUAGUAGCUGCUUUGCUUUAGGAGCCAUUUGGUAUAGAACCACAUAGCUUGCUCCGAAGCUAUUG